rnacentral:rRNA from 1 species
AAAAGCUCGUAGUUGGAUCUCAGCUCCGGCCGGACGGUCCGCCUACCGGUGGUUACUGUUCGUCGCCGAGCGUUCAGGCGGUUAUUCUUGAUGAUCUUCACCGGUUGUCUCGGGUGACCGCCAAGUUUACUUUGAAAAAAUUAGAGUGCUCAAAGCAGGCGUGACGCCUGAAUAAUUGUGCAUGGAAUAAUGGAAUAGGACCUCGGUUCUAUUUUGUUGGUUUUCGGAACACGAGGUAAUGAUUAAGAGGGACAGACGGGGGCAUUCGUAUUGCGACGCUAGAGGUGAAAUUCUUGGACCGUCGCAAGACGAACUACUGCGAAAGCAUUUGCCAAGAAUGUUUCCAUUAAUCAAGAACGAAAGUUAGAGGUUCGAAGGCGAUCAGAUACCGCCCUAGUUCUAACCAUAAACGAUGCCAGCCAGCAAUUCGCCUGUGUUCCUCAAAUGACACGGCGGGCGGCUUCCGGGAAACCAAAGCUUUUGGGUUCCGGGGGAAGUAUGGUUGCAAAGCUGAAACUUAAAGGAAUUGACGGAAGGGCACCACCAGAAAUGGAGCCUGCGGCUUAAUUUGACUCAACACGUGGAAACUCACCCGGUCCGGACACAGGAAGGAUUGACAGAUUGAGAGCUCUUUCUUGAUUCUGUGGGUGGUGGUGCAUGGCCGUUCUUAGUUGGUGGGGCGACUUGUCUGGUUAAUUCCGAUAACGAACGAGACUCUAGCCUACUAAAUAGACGUUCCGAUCCUCUUUUAGUCGGACGUUCUUCUUAGAGGGACAAGCGGCGUUUAGCCGCACGAGACAGAGCAAUAACAGGUCUGAGAUGCCCUUAGAUGUCCGGGGCCGCACGCGCGCUACAUUGAAGGAAUCAGCGUGUGCUUUCCCUGUCCGACAGGACUGGGUAACCCGUUGAACCUCCUUCGUGCUGGGGAUUGGAGAUUGUAAUUGUCCUCCAUGAACGAGGAAUUCCCAGUAAGCACGAGUCAUCAGCUCGUGUUGAUUACGUCCCUGCCCUUUGUCCACACCGCCCGUCGCUACUACCGAUUGAAUGAUUUAGUGAGGUCUUCGGACUGGCGCUCGGAUUGGCCUUCGCGGUCGAGCCGGUGUGCCGGAAAGAUGACCAAACUUGAUCACUUAGAGGAAGUAAAAGUCGUAACAAGGUUUU